rnacentral:lncRNA from 1 species
CUACCACAACACACAAUCCUGUAGAAGUCUAGCUGUGGUGAGGAACAGCAAAUAGUUUGUGAGUGGGGCUGUGACAGGCAGCCAUGUGUAUUGAUGAUUGGGGAAAUUAUGAUCACAGAGGACCCUGCUGAGUAUUUCUACUAUGUUUGUCCUCCUGCCUGAGGGCCUCAAUAACAAGCUUCCUGUGUAUGCAGAAUGGACUUCUAUCUUGAGAAGAAGAAUGAUCUUCUAAGGACCCGAGUUUGAUCUCCGGACCAAAAAAAAAAAAAAAGAAGAAUGAUCUUCAAACCGGAGAGGGCAGAGCAAACAAAGUUAAGAGGGAACUGAAGCCCAAGAUAAGUCAAGACAGACUAAGCCUCCAGAAGGUGAGCAGUCUUCUCCAUCACCCAUUUCUGCCAUGAUGCACCAUGCUGCCACAGGCCCAAAGUGGCAAUGAGGCCAAGUGAAUAUGGACUGAAACUUCUGAAACCAUGAAGCAAAAUAAGCCUUUUCUCUUAUAAAUUGAUUACCUUGGGUAUUUUGUCACAGUAAUGGAAAUCUGAUUAAAACAACUAGUUUCUAAAGUUGCCAGGAUGUUAAAGAAGAAAUUUUAUUUAGAGAGAAUGACGUGCAAAAUCAAGGAGGCUUGUGGGAAGGGCUUGUUUAUGGCUGUGCUUAGGUGUCUAUGGAGGACUGGGG